ensembl:lncRNA
GGGGGGGGGGGGGGGCGGUGCCAGUGGGAGCCCCGCCCUCGCGGCCAGCCGCUCGAGGCCGCCCUCCGGGUUGCCUCUGCCCAGAAGUGAAGUGACUUACCGCGCCUCCUUUAUGUUAUUCACACGUGCUGCUACGAGGCGGGGACGGGCCGCAGAAGGAGGGAGGCUCUUUGGCGAGGGGAGCAGCAGCGGCUUCUGUCCUCAGCCCUCAGGCUGCUCUCAUGCGUUUCAUGAACUCCUCUCAUCUCACUCGUCCCUUCCUCCAGGCUUGUCUCCAUCGCGCGGACCCGCCCUUCCCGCCGGGCCCGGCCUCUUGCCUCUUCUCUUACCCCCAGAAGCUGCUCCCCGCUGGGUCUAAGGGCCGGUCUGGGCCAUCAGUCACCACGCAGCCUCUGGGGUGGCCUCAUCCGACCGUAAGGGGCCCACCCGGAGUCACAGCUGCCUUGCAGCGCACUGUGUUUGACACACUGCGAGCGUCUGCUCUGAGUGGAAACAGAAAGUGGGCUCGUUGGCUGAGUGUGUUUAGGGAAAGUAGUUUUGCUCUUCUGCUGAGAAGAACGGUCACUUGCCGAGUCUUCGGUGCCCCCCCAGCACCACCGGGUUGUCUGGGCGUCCCUGUGGAAGGCCUGUCCUCUGGGCUCGGGCCGUGGCUCAGCUCUGCCCCAGCCCACGGAGUCAUCCACUUCUGCCCUCAUCCCCGGGGACACGGGACUCAGCAGAGGAUAGAGGUUGGAAGGGUUCAUGUCUCUGGGUUUGACAAGACCCCCCUCUGUCCCCAUCACGUCUGAGUUAAUGUCCCAGCAGCCACCAUGAGAGGUCUGAUUGUCUGCAAAACUUGCCCUGCCUCCACCCCCAGCUGCAGGCCUGGCCCCGCCCAGUGACCCUGCCCACCGCCCGGUGACAGGAGGCCUCCUGCGGGCUCAGCGCUGACCAGGAGGGACGUUUAUGCUGUGUCUUCACGGGGCCCCGAGGUGAUUUCUUCAAGUAGGCAAGCCUCAGGGUGUUCAGCGUCUCUUCCUCUCUCUCAGUGUUCUAGAAAAGACUGAGGGCUGCAGACUCUUUCUAGGCAUCUUUCUUUUCCUCCAGGGAAGAAUCUUACUCAGAGGAUUUCCUUCAUUCCUUGGACCUGCGUGUCAUGCUGGAAGCAACUGGUACAGGUUCCUGAGAAGACCAAUUGGGGAGGGGGAGGCGGGAAGCUGCAGCAGACAGGCUUCUUUCUCUAGUUGAUGGGCUGAACACUGGCUACGUGGGACCCCUCACCCCCGCCCCCAGCUCUGAUGAGCCAGGGGGUCUUCAGGUUACACCCUCCAUCACCCUUUUGCUUCCAAGGGAGACAAAAGGUCUCCAAGCUAUUCUCACUCUCUUGCCCCAGAUCUGUUAAGAGUCAAAAUAGAAUUGGAAGAAUUCUAGUUCAUUAUUCUUUGUUUGAGAUCCUUUUUCUGCAAUGAGUGGCUCAUUGGACUCAUCCAAAUAUUUACUGGUGGUUCACUCCGCAUGAAAAACAGUAAGAAGUGCAGAGGAGUCCAGACCGGAGAGGGAUGUGGCUGUUCAACGCUGUGACCCCCCUGGGCUACCACCGUGUUGGUCCCACUCACUAAAGAUUCCAUGCUACCCACUCCAGUGUUCUGGCCUGGAGAAUUCCGUGGACUGUAUAAGUUCAUGGGGUAACAAGGUCGGACACAACUGAGCGACUUUCACUCAUUUACUUACUUUCUUAGCUGCAAUGAUAAGACUGGCCCCUCUCAAGCUGUUGCCAUGACCCCCAAGGAAUGCUAUGAGCUGUCCCCAAAUUCUGAGCAUAUUGGCUGAGCUGGAAUGAGGCCCAUGAACCUGAAAUGGAUUUCUUGUGCAUGAAAUUAACUGGCCAAAAGGCUAUGGAACUACGCCUAUGCUUUUUUUUUUUUUUGCAGGUUUUUUUUUUUAAUUUUAUUUUAUUUUUAAACUUUACAUAAUUGUAUUAGUUUUGCCAAAUAUCAUAAUGAAUCCGCCACAGGUAUACAUGUGUUCCCCAUCUGAACCCUCCUCCCUCCUCGCCUAUGGCUUCUUAAGACCUUAGCCUCUAAAUUUCUGAGUUAAGUUAUCAAAAAAAAAUUUUUUUAAUAAGUAAAAAUAGGGUUUAAAAUCAAAUAUUCUUAAGUCUGGCCUCUCCCAGCUUCCUUCCAGGAUGGGCUUUCUGGGUACCUGGUCAAGGGGGACUGACCCUGCUCCGUUUCUGCUUUAGGACAGGGACGAGGAGGAGAGACCAAAGUGUGUCCUUAAUUCUUGCUUAUAUUCAGACCCAGAUCCCGGGCAGCUUGGUGCACAUGGGCAAGGGAUAAACCCAGCACGGAUUGUGUUUCUUACCUGACUGACAAUUAGCCUGUAAAGAUCUUUCAGCGGGGCGGAUGUUGCUAGGGGGCGUGUCUGUGUGCAUUUUUUUUUUUUUUCAUGGUGGCCGUCUAAAGUUUUUUAGACAAUAUGUUUAAUCAUCAGUGCUUUAAAAAAGUGGCGGUAUCCUGUAGAGUGGGAAUUGGGCUGCGCGGCGUGUUUGGUGCGAGGCUGAAGUCACGGCGCAUUACCGUGGUUCACCAUCCAUGUGUGGGCUCUGGCCUCUGGGGCACCCAGGAGGGACACAUACACCCCAGCACCUGGGCAGGGCGGGGGGAGGGGUGCAAGUAGGGGGGACCCACCUUAGCUAGGCCAGCCUGCGUUUUCAUUUCAAAUGGGAUACAGUAUUUUUUUUUUUAAUAAGGAGCCAUACUUUUUAAAAAAAAAAGUUUGAGAUCUGAAUGUGAUUUCUAAUUGUACCAGACGUUAAUGUUUUAAAGCUAUAACAAAGUUUAAAAUUUCUACCUUUUUUUUUUCAUUUAACUGUUCUUUUAUCUAUUAAAUUGUUGUAUGUGGACGGGGAAGUUUUGUCUUUCCUCUUAGCAUUUGUUUCUAUAACCAGAAAUAAAAUUAUAUAUUAAAGAAACGA